AUUGAACGCUGGCGGCAUGCUUUACACAUGCGAGUCGAACGGUAACAGGCCUUCGGGUGCUGACGAGUGGCGAACGGGUGAGUAAUGCAUCGGAACGUGCCCAGAGGUGGGGGAUAACGCAGCGAAAGCUGUGCUAAUACCGCAUGUGAUCUGAGGAUGAAAGCGGGGGACCAGGCAGCAAUGUUUGGCCUCGCGCCUUUGGAGCGGCCGAUGUCGGAUUAGGUAGUUGGUGGGGUAAAGGCCUACCAAGCCGACGAUCUGUAGCUGGUCUGAGAGGACGACCAGCCACACUGGGACUGAGACACGGCCCAGACUCCUACGGGAGGCAGCAGUGGGGAAUUUUGGACAAUGGGCGCAAGCCUGAUCCAGCAAUGCCGCGUGCGGGAAGAAGGCCUUCGGGUUGUAAACCGCUUUUGUACGGAACGAAAAGGCUCGGGCUAAUACCUGGGGCUGAUGACGGUACCGUAAGAAUAAGCACCGGCUAACUACGUG
rnacentral:rRNA from 1 species